GGAUGAACGCUGGCGGCGUGCCUAAUCCAUGCAAGUCGAGCGAACAGAUGAGGAGCUUGCUCCUCUGACGUUAGCGGCGGACGGGUGAGUAACACGUGGAUAACCUACCUAUAAGACUGGGAUAACUUCGGGAAACCGGAGCUAAUACCGGAUAAUAUAUUGAACCGCAUGGUUCAAUAGUGAAAGACGGUUUUGCUGUCACUUAUAGAUGGAUCCGCGCCGCAUUAGCUAGUUGGUAAGGUAACGGCUUACCAAGGCAACGAUGCGUAGCCGACCUGAGAGGAUGAUCGGCCACACUGGAACUGAGACACGGUCCAGACUCCUACGGGAGGCAGCAGUGGGGAAUCUUCCACAAUGGGCGAAAGCCUGACGGAGCAACGCCGCGUGAGUGAUGAAGGUCUUCGGAUCGUAAAACUCUGUUAUUAGGGAAGAACAAAUGUGUAAGUAACUAUGCACGUCUUGACGGUACCUAAUCAGAAAGCCACGGCUAACUACGUG
rnacentral:rRNA from 1 species